CAGCCGCCGCGGUAAUUCGGAGGGCGCAAGCGUUGUUCGGAAUCAUUGGGCGUAAAGCGCGUGUAGGCGGCUUGGUAAGUCGAGUGUGAAAUCCCGGGGCUCAACCCCGGAAGGUCGCUCGAAACUGCCUCGCUCGAGUCCCGGAGAGGAAGGCGGAAUUCCCGGUGUAGAGGUGAAAUUCGUAGAUAUCGGGAGGAACACCAGCGGCGAAGGCGGCCUUCUGGACGGUGACUGACGCUGAGACGCGAAAGCGUGGGGAGCAAGCAGGAUUAGAUACCCUGGUAGUCCACGCCGUAAACGUUGGGUGCUAGGUGUCGCGGGUAUUGACCCCUGCGGUGCCGCCGCUAACGCAUUAAGCACCCCGCCUGGGGAGUACGGUCGCAAGGCUAAAACUUAAAGGAAUUGACGG
rnacentral:rRNA from 1 species